UCCCCAGUAGCUCAGUUGGUAGAGCACUUGGCUGUUAACCAAGGUGUCAGCGGUUCGAGCCCGUUCUGGGGAG
rnacentral:tRNA from 1 species